rnacentral:rRNA from 1 species
UACGGGGGGGGUAAGCGUUGUUCGGAAUUACUGGGCGUAAAGGGCUCGUAGGCGGCCAACUAAGUCAUACGUGAAAUCCCUCAGCUUAACUGGGGAACUGCGUGUGAUACUGGAUGGCUUGGACUUGGGAGAGGGAUGCGGAAUUCCAGGUGUAGCGGUGAAAUGCGUAGAUAUCUGGAGGAACACCGGUGGCGAAGGCGGCAUCCUGGACCAAUAUUGACGCUGAGGAGCGAAAGCUAGGGGAGCAAACGGG